UCGAGCGCAGGAAGCUAACGGAUCCCCUUCGGGGGUGAGGUUAGUGGAAUGAGCGGCGGACGGGUGAGUAACACGUGGGCAACCUGCCUGUAAGACCGGAAUAACCCCGGGAAACCGGGGCUAAUGCCGGGUAAUCUCCUCCCUCGCAUGAGGGAAGAGUAAAAGAUGGCCUUUGGCUAUCGCUUACAGAUGGGCCCGCGGCGCAUUAGCUAGUUGGUGAGGUAACGGCUCACCAAGGCAACGAUGCGUAGCCGACCUGAGAGGGUGAUCGGCCACACUGGGACUGAGACACGGCCCAGACUCCUACGGGAGGCAGCAGUAGGGAAUCUUCCGCAAUGGACGAAAGUCUGACGGAGCAACGCCGCGUGAACGAUGAAGGUCUUCGGAUCGUAAAGUUCUGUUGUGAGGGAAGAACAAGUACCGUGCGAAUAGAGCGGUGCCUUGACGGUACCUCACGAGAAAGCCCCGGCUAACUACGUGCCAGCAGCCGCGGUAAUACGUAGGGGGCAAGCGUUGUCCGGAAUUAUUGGGCGUAAAGCGCGCGCAGGCGGUUCCUUAAGUCUGAUGUGAAAGCCCACGGCUCAACCGUGGAGGGUCAUUGGAAACUGGGGAACUUGAGGACAGAAGAGGAGAGUGGAAUUCCACGUGUAGCGGUGAAAUGCGUAGAUAUGUGGAGGAACACCAGUGGCGAAGGCGACUCUCUGGUCUGUUUCUGACGCUGAGGUGCGAAAGCGUGGGUAGCAAACAGGAUUA
rnacentral:rRNA from 1 species